rnacentral:rRNA from 1 species
UGGUGGGUAGUUUGACUGGGGCGGUCUCCUCCUAAAGAGUAACGGAGGAGCACGAAGGUUGGCUAAUCCUGGUCGGACAUCAGGAGGUUAGUGCAAUGGCAUAAGCCAGCUUGACUGCGAGCGUGACGGCGCGAGCAGGUGCGAAAGCAGGUCAUAGUGAUCCGGUGGUUCUGAAUGGAAGGGCCAUCGCUCAACGGAUAAAAGGUACUCCGGGGAUAACAGGCUGAUACCGCCCAAGAGUUCAUAUCGACGGCGGUGUUUGGCACCUCGAUGUCGGCUCAUCACAUCCUGGGGCUGAAGUAGGUCCCAAGGGUAUGGCUGUUCGCCAUUUAAAGUGGUACGCGAGCUGGGUUUAGAACGUCGUGAGACAGUUCGGUCCCUAUCUGCCGUGGGCGCUGGAGAACUGAGGGGGGCUGCUCCUAGUACGAGAGGACCGGAGUGGACGCAUCACUGGUGUUCGGGUUGUCAUGCCAAUGGCACUGCCCGGUAGCUAAAUGCGGAAGAGAUAAGUGCUGAAAGCAUCUAAGCACGAAACUUGCCCCGAGAUGAGUUCUCCCUGAGACUUUAAGU